rnacentral:rRNA from 1 species
UACAGAGGUCUCAAGCGUUGUUCGGAUCCACUGGGCGUAAAGAGCACGUAGGCGGCUUUUUAAGUCAGGGGUGAAAUCCUGGAGCUCAACUCCAGAACUGCCUUUGAUACUGAGAAGCUUGAGUCCGGGAGAGGUGAGUGGAACUGCGAGUGUAGAGGUGAAAUUCGUAGAUAUUCGCAAGAACACCAGUGGCGAAGGCGGCGCACUGGCCCGGUACUGACGCUGAGGUGCGAAAGCGUGGGGAGCAAACAGG